CGGGGCGUAGCGCAGCCCGGUAGCGCGCUCGCUUGGGGUGCGAGAGGUCGUGGGUUCAAAUCCCGCCGCCCCGACCA
rnacentral:tRNA from 1 species